GACGAACGCUGGCGGCGUGCCUAACACAUGCGAGUCGAACGGAACUGUUUUGAAAGCUUUCUUCGGAAUGAAUUUGAUUUAGUUUAGUGGCGGACGGGUGAGUAACGCGUGAGUAACCUGCCUUCAAGAGGGGAAUAACAUUCUGAAAAGAAUGCUAAUACCGCAUGACAUAUCGGAACCACAUGGUUUUGAUAUCAAAGAUUUUAUCGCUUGAAGAUGGACUCGCGUCCGAUUAGUUAGUUGGUGAGGUAACGGCUCACCAAGACCGCGAUCGGUAGCCGGACUGAGAGGUUGAACGGCCACAUUGGGACUGAGACACGGCCCAGACUCCUACGGGAGGCAGCAGUGGGGGAUAUUGCGCAAUGGGGGCAACCCUGACGCAGCAACGCCGCGUGAAGGAUGAAGGUUUUCGGAUUGUAAACUUCUUUUAUUAAGGACGAAAAAUGACGGUACUUAAUGAAUAAGCGCCGGCUAACUACGUG
rnacentral:rRNA from 1 species